GGAUGUAAGGGCGAUCUGUAGGCAGGUGUCUCCUUCUCUCACUGGAGACCCAUGUGUGUGUGUUCUGCAGCAGCUGUGUGCUCAGUUGUAGACGACAGCCUUCCCUGAAUACAAACGCCCAGUUUCUGGUCCAGGUUUUAUGAAUAGCUGUGCUCCCCUGCUAGAACCUCCAAACAAGCUCUCAAAUGAGUUGCCAUAUAGGAAAGGAAGCCAUUUGAAGAACUUUGUACUUUCUUCUUAUUAAAAAUACAUUAUUUAUUUAUUUAUUUA
rnacentral:snRNA from 1 species